GUGUAGCCAUAGCUCAGUCAGAAGAGCAUGAGACUCUUAAUCUCAUGGCCUUGGGUUCAAGCCCCACAAUGGACAAA